UACAGAGGGGGCGAGCGUUGUUCGGAAUUACUGGGCGUAAAGGGCUCGUAGGCGGCCUGCUACGUCAUACGUGAAAUCCCUCAGCUUAACUGGGGAACUGCGUGUGAUACUGGAUGGCUUGGAUUUGGGAGAGGGAUGCGGAAUUCCAGGUGUAGCGGUGAAAUGCGUAGAUAUCUGGAGGAACACCGGUGGCGAAGGCGGCAUCCUGGACCAAUAUUGACGCUGAGGAGCGAAAGCCAGGGGAGCAAACGGG
rnacentral:rRNA from 1 species